UCCUGGUUAACCCAGGCAGUCUCACUAGAGUUCCCGACAUUACUCGCUGGCAACUAAUGAUAAGGGUUGCGCUCGUUGCGGGACUUAACCCAACACCUCACGGCACGAGCUGACGACAGCCAUGCAGCACCUGUUCAGCAGCCCUUGCGGGAAAUACUAUCUCUAAUAUCGUCUACUGUAUGUCAAGUCUGGGUAAGGUUCUUCGCGUUGCAUCGAAUUAAACCACAUGCUCCACUGCUUGUGCGGGCCCCCGUCAAUUCUUUUGAGUUUCACCCUUGCGAGUGUACUCCUCAGGCGGUAUACUUAUCGCGUUAGCUUCGACACAGUUAGGGUUGAGCCCAACUACAUCAAGUAUACAUCGUUUACAGCAAGGACUAC
rnacentral:misc_RNA from 1 species